rnacentral:ncRNA from 2 species
ACCAAGAGUUAAUUCUCAGGCGCUCGUAACGAGCAUAACAGGGAACCCCGUGUGAACCGGGGACGGGCCCACCGCUGUGACCGGGGACGAAUUCCGCAAAAUGUCACUGUUCGUAUGAACGGGAAGACGCGGAAGGAGAACGAUCCGGGAGUCAGAAGACCUGCCUGAGAGCAUACGUCUAU